rnacentral:lncRNA from 1 species
AGGAGAGGAUAAGCUCGUCGGAGAUGGUGGAGGCGAGGAUGAGGUCGCCGGCGACGGAUCUGUGAGUGAGAGUUAGAGAGAGUGAGAGGUUUGCAGAUCCUUCGUUAGAGAGUCAUCGAUGUCAAGGCAUUGGUCGGUGUCGGUGAGGCUUUGAUCGGCAUUGGCUUGCUUCGGCGAGGCAUGGCUGGCUUCAGAUCUCGUGGAGGAUGUGAGAGAGAGAGAGAGAGAGAGAGAGAGAGAGAGAGAGAGAGAGAGAGAGAGAGAGAGAGAGAGAGAGAGAGAGAGAGAGAGAGAGAGAGAGAGAGUAGAGAGUAGAGAGUAGAGAGAGAGAGUAGNNNNNNNNNNNNNNNNNNNNGAGAGAGAGAGAGAGAGAGGCCCGGUCGUCGAGGAAGAUGGUGACGGUGUAGUGCCGAUGCUCCUUGCUCGAGGGCGUCGGUGGCGACGCUGUCUUCCACCAUGGAAGUUCGUCGAGGUGAGAGAGAGGAAGAGAGAGGAGAGAUGAGAGAUGAGAGAUGAGUGAGAAGUGAUCAGGAAAGAAGAUAAGAAAGGAGUGGUGGGAAUAGAACG